GCCGCGGUGGUGGAAUGGCAGACACGUACGUUUAAGGUGCGUAUGGGGCAACCCUUGGGAGUUCGAGUCUCCCCCGCGGCA
rnacentral:tRNA from 1 species